rnacentral:lncRNA from 1 species
ACAAACCAACUUAUUCUGCUGCUCUCACAUUCUGCUCCUUGGUAGAAAACAAAGGAGAGAAAUUGGAGCUUCGGUGAUAAGGAAAAGAACUUCUUAAUGGUGCUUGUUGGCAAGGUUGCAUUGCUUUCUGACCUCCCCCUUUGAGCCAGUAAGUGGAUUGUUCUCAGAAAGAAUGGUUAUGGCUCUUGAGAAUUCCUUAAAGAAGUAGUUUUGGUUUUUGGCCAUUUUCUUGACAUAAGGUCUGGUCCUCUUGUCUAGGGCAACUUGGUGAUCAACAAUCAAUAAGCCCUUGUUGUCCAAGAUGUUCCUGUAGUAGUUGUUGUCUAGGAUCAUGGGUGUGCCUCUGUCAUUUCUCACAUACUGGACGGCUUUGGGGUCUGGGAUUGCAUCUGGGCACUUGUGGAGCAUGUGUUCAACAUGGGCAGGGUUCAAUGCAGGGUCAACCUCGGGGUAGAGCCGGUGCACCAGUUUCACGCAGUGGGUUCUACCAACACUAUGAGCUCCUAUUGAAAACAAACCAACCCAUAGUUAGGACUCAACAACAAUAAAUCGCUAGGUUAUUCAAACUUCAUCAUAUCAUGAGUACUUAUUAUAUGCUUAAGGUAAUUUAUGAGUUGGAAUAUCAUUUCAGUAUGAUCAUUUCCUUUCGAAUCUUUGUCUGGAAACUAUGGAGUAAAAAUUUAAAGGGUAAAUGAUUUCUACCGUCUUCCAAUGAGUUUCUGCUUGUAGAACAACUAAAAAAUUUUCUAGUAUCAUUUGAUUGUGCAUGUAAUACUUGAUAAUGAGUUAAAUACAAGUUUCAGUCACUUUGAUUUAGCUCUGACUGAAGGGAAAAAAAAGAAAAGAAACUAUUACCUAGAAGGGCAACAACUCCAGGAGUGUCAAUGCCUAUAGCUCCAAACCUUUCAAGGACAACAGACACACUCUCAUUAUGAUCAGGAAGGUACUGCUCCAGCACAUCAGCUCUGCUCUUCCUUCCAUCUCUUCUCCCUGUCUUGAGAGGGAUAUAAGGUCCGCCAAGC